rnacentral:rRNA from 1 species
AGAGUUUGAUCAUGGCUCAGAUUGAACGCUGGCGGCAGGCUUAACACAUGCAAGUCGAGCGGUAACAGAGAUAGCUUGCUAUCUGCUGACGAGCGGCGGACGGGUGAGUAAUGCUUGGGAAUAUGCCUUAUGGUGGGGGACAACAGUUGGAAACGACUGCUAAUACCGCAUAACGUCUACGGACCAAAGGGGGGGAUCUUCGGACCUCUCGCCAUUUGAUUAGCCCAAGUGAGAUUAGCUAGUUGGUGAGGUAAUGGCUCACCAAGGCGACGAUCUCUAGCUGGUUUGAGAGGAUGAUCAGCCACACUGGGACUGAGACACGGCCCAUACUCCUACGGGAGGCAGCAGUGGGGAAUAUUGCACAAUGGGCGAAAGCCUGAUGCAGCCAUGCCGCGUGUGUGAAGAAGGCCUUCGGGUUGUAAAGCACUUUCAGUUGUGAGGAAAGGGGUGUAGUUAAUAGCUGCAUUCUGUGACGUUAACAACAGAAGAAGCACCGGCUAACUUCGUGCCAGCAGCCGCGGUAAUACGAGGGGUGCAAGCGUUAAUCGGAAUUACUGGGCGUAAAGCGUUCGUAGGCGGUCUAUUAAGCAAGAUGUGAAAGCCCAGGGCUCAACCUUGGAACUGCAUUUUGAACUGGUAGACUAGAGUACUGUAGAGGGUGGUGGAAUUUCCAGUGUAGCGGUGAAAUGCGUAGAGAUUGGAAGGAACAUCAGUGGCGAAGGCGGCCACCUGGACAGAUACUGACGCUGAGGAACGAAAGCGUGGGGAGCGAACAGGAUUAGAUACCCUGGUAGUCCACGCCGUAAACGAUGUCAACUAGCCGUUUGUGGGCUUGAUCCGUGAGUGGCGCAGCUAACGCACUAAGUUGACCGCCUGGGGAGUACGGCCGCAAGGUUAAAACUCAAAGGAAUUGACGG